GACGAACCGUGCGAACGUUGUUCGGAAUCACUGGGCUUAAAGGGCGCGUAGGCGGGCGGCAAAGUCAGGGGUGAAAUCCUCCAGCUUAACUGGAGAAGUGCCUUUGAUACUGGUCGUCUUGAGGAAGGUAGGGGCAUGCGGAACUGAUGGUGGAGCGGUGAAAUGUGUUGAUAUCAUCAGGAACUCCGGUGGCGAAAGCGGCGUGCUGGACCUUUUCUGACGCUGAUGCGCGAAAGCCAGGGGAGCGAACGGG
rnacentral:rRNA from 1 species